rfam:Caenorhabditis briggsae complete genome, chrX
CACUGUCGGUCCGGCGUCAGUGGGUUAUCAUGAUUAUUUCGUAUUUCCCUUCGGGGAAUUUCCCAUUGGUACCAACUUGACCGUUGU